rnacentral:rRNA from 1 species
UGACGUAGGUGACAAGCGUUUGUCCGGAUUUACUGGGCGUAAAGAGCGCGCAGGCGGUCGGAUCAAGUCGAGUGUGAAAGCCCCCGGCUCAACUGGGGAGGGUCAUUCGAUACUGAUCGACUCGAAGGCAGGAGAGGGAAGUGGAAUUCCCGGUGUAGUGGUGAAAUGCGUAGAUAUCGGGAGGAACACCGGUGGCGAAGGCGGGUCUCUGGGCCGAUACUGGACGCUGAGGAGCGAAAGCGUGGGGAGCGAACAGG